AAAUUCAUUUCACAGAGCUCUCGAGUUUACUAAUAGAACCUAGCUCAAACUUUCUCAAGCAUCAGCGAGCUUAUUCUUCAUGAAUUCUUCUCUUUGAUAUAGAUUUAAGUUUUGGAUUUGGCUCUUCUUUGAAUUUUUCUUUUUCAUUUUCUCUCUGGGGUUGGAUCGAUGAUGCGUUGAAGAAAAACUGCGUUAUCUAUCUGAUAUUUCCAAUUCGGAAUGAAGAUAGCUUCUUAAUCUUCCUGAGAUCCCUUAAUUUAUUUAGUUUAUAUGUGUUACCUUUCUGAAUUUGUUGCUUUAGAUUUCGUUGAGAGUAGAGCAGAGGAUGAGCAUCAAUGAUGAGGUAGAAUUAAUUGUUAUCCUUGCACUUUGAUUGCCAGUGAAGAAAACUUACGGGGAAUUACCAUUCUGAGAUGCUUUCCACCUUUUUUUCUUUUCCUUUUUUUUUUGUGUUUUCUUUAGUAAUAUAUGGAUCAAUGAUUUGAAAAAUUACGCGCUGUCUGGCUGCAAUUUCUCUCGAAGGAUUGAUGACAACUAAGUGGUGAUUGAAGAGGGACAUGUUAUCACUGUCUUCGUCUUCACGUGAGCAAACAAGAAAGAUAAUGGGUUUACAAUUCAUACACGCGAACACGAAUUUGAAAAGGAUCUUAAAUUCUAUGAAUCCAUUUAUAUCAAACAAUAAUAUUAAGGCCAGGUUAGGCAUGGAAUCAAUCAAGUAAGACAUAGGAAGAAGGCAAGUGAGUAAGAGGGCGAAGAAGAGGUGAAGUUGAGCCGUGGAUGGCCAUGUACAACCAGGGGAACUCAACUCUGCCGCCCUUGCACGCAGAAAUUAAAAUUAUUUAGUUACAAUUGUGUGGAUUUGUAUAUUGAGAUUUCAAUAUAUUUUAAUUGUUAAUAGUUAAUACCAACCAUAAUUUGUAUAUACAUGAAUUUAUAUGAGUAAUUUAAAAGAUUAAAUUGUCGA